rnacentral:lncRNA from 1 species
CCAGUAUUUAUUGGGUGUGCACAAUAAUAGGAGGGAGUAUCUAGUGACUUAAGGGGCGGUGGUAAUCUUAUGUUGGUGAGGAUCUUAUGUUGAUAAGGGCAGUAAGGACAGCAUUCCUACAAUAGUAGUUCUCAAAGAACCAGGAUGUCUUCAGCUGAUGUACUUUUGGCCUUGACUGUCACAGUAUCACAGGACCAUUGAGGCCUCAACUUGUGACUGGAGGAUGGCUCCUGACAGUGAGCAGCUUUCUUCCACCAUGCCAUCUGCCAUUGCAUUUCUGCCUUGGAGCCCGCUGACUGUGCAUGGACUGAACCUUCUAAAACCAUGAGCCAAAAUAAACCUAUCCUCCUUCUAAGUUGCAGGUGUUGAGUGUUUUGUCCAAGUGAUGGGAAAGUGACUAAUAUGCACCUUGAUUUUAGACUUUCCAGUCUCCAAUAUCAUGAGAAAUAAAUUUCUGUUGUUUAUAAGCCAGCAC